UCGGCCAGCGCCGCGCCAGCACCACCUGCGGAGCUGCGGCGCCCACGCCGCGCCACGACCCCGCCGCCCCCCUCUCCCGCCACACGCGCGCGCAAACAAAACAAGUUGCCGGGCGCCGCCACCGGAGGGGGCCGGGCGGGUCACUCACCCUCAUCCUGCUCAGCGGGCUCGGGUCGUCCUGCCGUGCGGAGAGGGAAGACCAGAGGACCACGAGCCCCAGGAAGCUUCCCACCACCAGCAAACUGCGCCUGUGCCCUCCAGGAUGCCGCGGCUCCCGUCUGCAAGUCCCCUCCUGACACCCGCUGCCCGAGACCCCGCCGACAGGCUUGCAGGAAGCAAACCAGGAAGUCAGGGCUGCCGCCGCCGCCGCCGCCGCCGCCGCAGUAGCUCCACGUGGCUGAUACAUAGCUGGAAGGAUUUUUUAUUAUUAUUGAUCCUGUUUUUCGCACUGUUCCUUAGGGAGGUGGAUUUGUAACGGAAAGGCCCAGGUGAGAUGUGCAAAUAUUAGUGGACUAGAGGAGCUCACUUGGGAAGCCCGUUGCCCUUUCUCUUGAGGUAUUCAGAAAAAAGCCAGUGCCUCAUGCUAAUAGGCAGUAUGAUUCUUGUUCGUGAACUGAUACGUUUCUACUCAGAGGAACUGGGAUUUCGGCUUGUUACUCACUCCCCCAUCCUUUCUACCCUCAGACCUGAUUUUUUCCUACUUUCAGGAGAUUGCUCUUCUUCUUGUGAGAUCUCACUUGGGAAAGGAUGUGCCAAAUGCUUGACCAGGUGCCCCUCCCCCCAAUAUUGUGCCCAUUACCUCCUAACAAAGAGUGUGUGUACUUACAUUACCAUAUUCUAAACUAAGUUAAACAGAAUGUUUACAGUUUUAUUCUAAGUUUUAGGAUGGUCAAGUUUUUCCCAGUAUUGCAUCAUAUUGGCAAGUUUUUUACUUUAAAGCAGUUAAAACCUGGUUAUUUAAAUCCACCUGAGUAAUGAAAGCUUACAUUUGUGCACUGAUAUUCACAGUCAGAAGAGGCAGGUUUUCAUUAUUAGGAAUAUAGGAAGCUUAAUUUUUACUGUUAUGAGCAUAGCUGGGGGAGGUAUGCAAAUGGAGGGUGGUUCUUAACCCUAAAGUGAUGGGAGUGGUUUUUUGGUAGAAUAUUCAGAGACGAUUCGGCCACCCUCCCCCACCUUUAGUUUUGCACACAGAACCUUGAAAUAUGUGUAAGAGGCCACAACAUUAGAAAUUAAUGGAUGAGUAUGUAUUUGUAAAAGCAUGUUUCUCUGAAUUCUAGUAAUGUUUAAAAGAAACUGAAAGUAUAUCUUAAAAUGUGCCUUUUGCAAUAUUAGCAUGGUGGCAGCCUUUGUAGAGUUGACAGAACUCUUUAGAAAAUAAGAUGCUAUGUUUAAAGUUUGGAUCAGGGCAACUGACACGUAAGCUGUCUGAACUAGGGCUGUCAUCUGCCAAAUAGUGAUUAUAGCACUUAACAGUAUUAUCAAAAGAAAUAAUUGAGGCCAGGUACAUAUAUGCAAAUAUAAAGUACAGAUGGUGUGAUGGACUAAGUCUCCAUGUGUAUGGAUAUAAUUCUUGUUUUAUGAAUGCUAUAGCUACUAUUGUAUGACAGGGAUUGUUAGGCAGGGAUCCUUCUGAUAUGUCUAACCUAGGAUAGUGUUCACUGAGGAAGAGAGUAGAGACUAGAACCUAGUGGGAGGGACAUAGGAGAUGGCCAAGAGAAGUGCACUGGAUGCCACCAGAUAUGGAGUCACAUAUGACAUGGGGCUUUCAGUUCAGAGGCCACCACAGCCUUGAAAGCAAGGUAGCCAGGAGAGAGGAAAUUUUCUGACCACCUAGCAUGUACAAGGUGCUUAACAUUUAUUUCAUCUAACCUCAGUUGUUGCCACUGCAUAUGUAAUCUUUUUGAUGAUAAUCACCUGAUAUUAUCUGUUGUAUAAGUAAACAUUCUCAGAUACGAUGCAAACCCUCAAAGCCUAUGUGUUCCUUUUUUUGGAAUUCUUCCCGAUGUCAACUCUGCUGAAAAGGAAUUGUGCCCAUCUUUGGGCUGCAUUUCCCUGGGGUUCUCACCAUGCCUGCCUUCAGUAUGUGGCAGCCAACCUGAACAUCUGAGCUUCCAAAUGUAACUCGCCUGCCUUUGGCCCUUCGUCAGGGAGUUCUUUUUGCCUGAAGUAUCUUGUGACACCUUAACAUUAAACUUAGAUGUCAGCUACAAAAAGUUUUUUCUGAAUUCUCUCCCAUAUCCCUUCCCACUCCAGUACUGGGAUAGGUACCACGCCUGGUACUUCACUGCACCCUCUACUUUUCCUUCCCUGAUAAUUACUACUGUGUUGUAAUUGCUUGAUUUUUUUGGACCCCAAGAGGCUGGAGACUUCCCUAUCUAGUUUAUUACUCUAUGUCUGGGUUGUAGAAAAGGCUCAAUAUUUUUUGAUGGAAUGCCGAGUGAAUAAUUGCAUCAAGACUACAAAGAGAAGAUAAAACUUAAAAAGAAGUCAGUGCUGCUUCAACUGCUAUUCUUGCCUACCUGUUUAUCUGAAUGUCCUUCAAAGGAUAACACUGUAGGUUUCAUUUAAUUACACAGGUCUUGUUUCCCUGUUAUAUCCUACAAGGCUACUCAGAACUAAGAAUCUGAUAGCUUUAAUUUAAAUUCAUAUUCUUGUAUUGAGAUUUUUUUUUUUACUAAAAUGAGAAUGUACAGUCAUAGCCAAUUGCAAUUUGUAGACAGAUUUCAAUUUUAACAAUGUCUGAUUGCCAAGUUAACAUUAGAAUCAGCAACUUACAAAUUACUGUUCGAUAUCCUAUUACCCAUUCUGUAAACCAUUUAAUCAUCUCUUUUCAAAGAAGACCACUAGUUGUAGCCUAAAGUCAAGAUGUAUUUUACUGUUUUGAAAAUAAUUAUGUAGACAUCAACAAAUGUAGUGUGUCAGUAUAUCGUGUCAUGUUUUUUCUCUUACUGCGUGACAAAUUACACCAAAAUGUAGCACUUUGAAACAACAAACCUAUGUUAUUUCACACAGUUUGAGGGUCAGGAAUGGAGGAGUUGCAUUUCUGGCUAAAGGUUUCUCAUGAGAUUCUUCCCAGGCUUUCAUUAGGGCUAUAGUCAUCUCAUUGUAGCUCAGCGGGGCCUGGAGAAUUUGUUUCCUAAGUUAUUCACAUUACCAACAAGAAGCCCUCAGUUUCUCCUUGGUGGUUGGUGGAAUACUUCAAUUCCUAAUCACACAGCCUUCUCCAUAGGCCCAUAAAGAUAGGCAGCAGAGUGAGUCCAUCAUCAGGAUAGUCUUAGUCAGCAGGCUGACUUCUUCCUGUGUGAAAGAUUGAAGGGAAGAGGGAAGGAGAGCUCAAACCCACAGAUCAGUACAGUAUUGGGGAGUGAGGGGACUACACAAGGAUGUGAAUACUAACAAUCAGGGACAAUUGGAAGCUGUUUUGGAGGCCAAUAAACUCAAUUAUUAAGCAUCUGGGUAGAAAUGCUUGUUUUUCAUUUAUUGUGAAAAGUCAGUUAAUGUUAUGAUUAACACCAAAAUCCUGACAAAAGAAUCCAGAUCUUAAAUAAUUGCUUAUUUCUGAUUGUCUUGUAAAGAAGUAACAUGUCUUCAUCUAUAAAAAGAUGUUAAGGCAAAUGAUCUUUAACAUCCCUUCCAUUACUGAAAUCUUGAGGUUGAUCUAUGAUGUUAAUAUAUGAUUAAGACUUUAAAGUUGUAUUCUCAUGUAAAAUACUAUGAAGUCAAACUCUGUCUUUGUACUUUUUUUUUCCUGACAUAGAUUACUAUUUCCAUCAUAAGCUUAAUGGAUAAUUCUGUACUCAUCUAGAAUAAAAGACUGUUGUCAAGGGCUUCCAUUUGAUGAGGCUAAUGGUCUCCUACAGUGUUUUGAAGGCAAAAAUGCUUAUUUAAAAGCUCUCUUAGAUUUCACACUGUAGAACAUGACCUCUUCAUAAUUCAGCACUGUUUUUGGACCCCCAUAAUUCAGAGUGCUCUUCUGAUUUAACCGUUUACUUAAGAGGUGAUUGAAACAUUUUUAUCUCUUACCACUCUUGCUUGAAACCUCUUCAACAGCUUUCCCUUGCUGUUAGAAUCAAGCCCAAACUCCUCCAUUUGUAUUACAAAGGCUUGUGAGCUUGUCUCUGCUCAUCUCCAAGCCUCUUAGCUGGUCGAUUUUCUCCUCUUUUCAAACUUAGGCUAGAGCCUGUUUAUUUCUCUUCUUUCCUGGACCAGGUCAAGUUCUUUCUCACUUACAGACCUUCCCUGUGAUACUUGAUAGUUUCUACACCAACACUUUCCCUCCAAACUCCUAACAAUUCUUCAAAUUUCAAUUUAUACACCAAUUAUUUCAGAAAUCUUUGACUCUCUUCAAUUCCCAACCACUUGCCAGGUUGGGAGUCCCUGAUUCAUGCUGUCAGAGCAUCUUGUAAGUUUUCUCUCAGAGCAUAGAGACUCCUACUUUGUAAUUCUUUGUUCAGUCGUCACCUCCAUUAGACAAGUUUCUUAAAGGCAAGGACCAUGUUCUCAUUUGGCAUUGUAGUCCCAGGAUGCUGACAGUGCCUGCUCAGUACUUGAAAGAGUGACUAGGUGAAAGUAUAUUUUAUGUGCUAACUGGUUUAAACAGAGAAGCUGAGAAGCAUUCUUUUAAUAAUUAAGAUUUAAACUGGGUGUGGUGGCCCAUACCUGUAAUCCCAGCAACUCAGAGGCUAAGGCAGAAAGAUUGCAGUUUAGUGAGAUUGUCUCUUAAAAAGCCUGAAGAUGUCAGUGGUACAGCAUUUGACUGGCAUGCACAAUGCUCUGGGUUUAAUCUCUAGUAACAUGUAAAAAGAAAAAGGCAUAUCUUAAUGUUUUAUAGAAAUAUUUUACAGACAAUAAGUGGGUUUUUUUACCCUUAUGUAAGGGCUGGGAAAGGAGUGCACUGUUCAACAGCUUAUCUGAUCAAGAUGAGGACAGUAAUUCCUAAAUAAUACACGGAUAGCUGUUCCAAAGUGUCUACUCACUGAAGGGAUUAUGCAUUGCCCAGAACUGCAUGGUCUUUAAUGUGAGAACCAGUUACCUACAUGACAAAUUAGCCUGUUUCUUGUUAUAUUAAUAAUCUCUUCAACCAUAGCAUUGAGGAAAGAGUGGAAUGGAAAGAGUUUCCUCAAUAAAGGGUCAGAGAACCUACCUUGUCACACAUAAAAUGGGAGAUGUGGCUAGACUCAAAUUUGCCUUCACAAAUUCACAGAAGAAAGACUCAAGUUCUAAGCAGAAUGGUUAAAUGAUCAGAAAGUCUUCAAAACUGAAAUUUGGACUACAGUUGUGCAUCUAAACCUCUCCAUUACGUUUUGUGCAUAUAAACUUCUGCAUCAGUGGGCAGACAGUUUCAAACAGCUGUCGGUUUAUCAUCACAUCCUCCAAAGAUCUUGUUUACCAGCUAUGCCUAGACCCUCACAGUCUAACAUGAGAAUCUCUAAUACCUACUAGACACACUAACCUCUGCCUUGAUAAUACUCAAAAUCUCUUAGAACAUAACUUUUGUGCAGUGGGUGGAAUGGAAAGAAACUAUGUCAGUUAAAGGGCCAGAGAGAAACAGAUAUGGCUAGACACAUUGAGCAUUACUGGAAAAACAAGACCUCUGGAGGGAAAUGAAGAUGUUAGGCCUAGAGAAAGGAAACAAAGGGAAAGCGGCAGUCUUGUGCUUGUCCAAGGUGAGAUCUAGACCCUAUAAGGCAUGAUGGGAAGAACAAAGAAGUAGUCAUCUUCUGGAGGUUUUUGAUGAGCUUAAAUAAGAUUGGGUUAUUAUGUAGUAGUGAACUAUUCCUACCAGCCUUUUUAGACAUUUCAGGGGAGAUAAAGUUGAAUACAAAUAAAUCUAGAGACAGAUUACAGGGAGAUUAUGCAGAGGAUAUUCCAAAUAAUCCAUGAAUUAGAGGGUGAACAGGAACUAGUUAUCUGUCAAUUCCAAACCUUUUUGUUUUCUAUCUAUGCUAUACCGCAUCUUGCUGAUGUUGGAAAUACAUUUUGUUCUUUAGUUACUUUCUAGAAAACUGAACAGCGAAUAAGUGCAUUUUCUCUUUUAUUUGAAUAUAUGGCUCUAGAUUAAAUGACUAUUUGGAGAGCCACACCAGGGAGUUGGAAGCCAAGAGUGCUGAUCUUCAGGGAAGUUCAAAAUACUGUCAUUUAGAUAAAUGUACCUUUUGGCAUAUUGCACAGUUUUGAAAUUUGAAUUUUAAUUACAUUUCUUUUUGGAGAGUGAUCUUUGAGGACUUUGUCUUUUGGGAUAACUUCCAUUUCUCAAACCAUAUAAAAUUGUUUUUAACAAAUUGAAUUCUGUUCUGUGAUAUUUUAUUGUGUACUUACGGACAUUUCUAUUUAUUUAACACGUUUUUUUGAGCAUGUCUCACGGGCUAGCCAUUGUUCUAGAUACUGAGUAUAUGGCCGUAAACUAAAAGAGUAAAACUCCCUGUAUUCAUGGAGUCAGACAAUAAACCAAAUAUGUAAAUUAUUGUAUAUUUACUAAUGAAUAAACUAGUAUAUCAC